rnacentral:lncRNA from 1 species
UUAGGAAGGCGUCGUACGGAAGAUGGUGCUCUGUUGGAGGGCGAAGGUGGUGGUGGGUGGCGUGGUAGUAAAUAGCAAUAGCGGGUGGGGAAGUACGUAGUGGAUAUGAAAAAGAAUAAUAGCAAAUUGGGUAUGCUGGUAGGGAUGUGGACCACAUGCAUGGUUAAAGGUCAGAAAUGGUGUCUGAUCCUGAUUCAUCUUUAGAUACCCA